rnacentral:tRNA from 1 species
GGCUGUGGCUCAGUGGCAGAGUGCUUGCCUCGUAUGUGUGAGGCACUGAGUUCGAUCUCCAGCACCA